rnacentral:rRNA from 1 species
UACAGAGGAGCCAAGCGUUGUCCGGAUUGACUGGGCGUAAAGCGCACGCAGGCGGACGCGCGCGUGGGGUGUGAAAUCUGGCCGCUUAACGGCCAGGCGCCAUCCCAUACGGCGCGUCUGGAGUGGAUGCAGAGGUCGAUGGAAUUGCCGGUGUAGUGGUGAAAUGCGUAGAAGAUCGGCAGGAACACCCAGGGGGAAAC